AGUGUUGGCAAGGUUUAUAUAACAAUGUUUCUUCUAUAUGGAUUAUAAACUUGCAAAAUCCCAAGCAGUCCUGGGUAUCAUAUUUGGUCAGUAGGUCAACAUGAGAAGACAACAGAAAAACUCAACACCAUGUCCAGCCAAACACUUUUUGGUUUUGGCGCAGUGGGUAGAAACAGCUUGGUCAGCUCCAUCUCUGACAGGGUCAGGAGCCUGGAUCUUAAGGAGUGUUGUGGGCCUCCCCAACCCCUUUGGAGCUUUGCCAUAUUAGAAGUCUGUGGCCCUUUCAGAGCCAGGGACCCUAAGCCAGAGGGGCCUUGAGGAAUCUCCUUUGGGUUAUAAUAAGCUCCAGUUUCAUGAGGUUCUCAGAGUGCAGGAAUGCUUGGAAAGCAGUGCUGGUCUGUGCUGAAUUUGGCCCUGGGAGGCCUGGGGUUCAUCAAGCAGGCAAGUGCAUUUGAUUCUAUCAAAGGAACUUUUGUGAUAAGAUGCUGCCUCUCCUUCCCUGCUCGACCACAUUUCCUCUUCCCAACGACCUGCUCUGGAAGUUAUAUAUCUUUUCCCAGGCCCGUUGUAGUUGGCAUGGACCACUCUUAUAUAAGACUAGUGGGUGGAUAUCGUUUUGAUCAGCUUUUUACCACUGUGACCAAAAGACCUGGCAAAAAAUUUUAGAGGAGGAAGAGUUUAUUUGGAGUUCACUAUUUUCAGAGGUCUCAAUACAUAGAAGGCCGACUCCAUUGCUCUGGGCCUUAAGAGAGGGUGGGCAUCCUGGCAGAAAGGUGUGGAGGAAGAAAGCAACUCAAGACAUGGCCACCAUAAAGGGUGCAGAAAGAACUCUAAUUACCAGAGGAUAAAAUUAGAAACCCCAAGUCAUUCCUCCAGUGACCAACCUCCUCCAGUCACACCCUGCUUACAGUUAUCACCCACUUAAUCUAGUCAAGUGGAUUAAUGCUCUGAUUAGGUUAAGACUCUUAUAACCCAGUUGUUUCACCUCUGAGCUUUCUUGCAUUGUCUCACAUAUGACCUUCUGGGGCACACCUCAUGUCUACACCAUAACAAAUCUUUGAAGUGACUUAGCUUCAAGGGCAGCCCAAAUGUCCCUCACUAAAGCCAAAGAGCAUUUCAUUAAUAAGACCUGGUGUCUUCAAAUGAAGUUCUUCUCUCGAGGCAAGUGUCAAGAUUGUGUCUCCUCCGGUCACUCGGCAGAACAACAAGACUUAGCAUUGGAUAUGACUCAUUAUGGGCAAAGAGCUAUGCGUGAAGACCUGAUGGCUAACAACUGGCCAGCAACCGAUUGACUUCAGUAUCUAAGUCUCAGAGUGAUGUACAGAAACCCUUCUUAUUUCCCUAUGAAGCUACAAGGGAUCUACUCAGACUUUGGAGAGGCAUUUGGGUUUAUUCUUAGUGAGAAAAAUUGUGAAGAUUGCUCUUCUGGCUCUAAUUCACUGUCUAGGAGGGUAAAAAAGAAUUUCAGUCAGCAAGCCUGACUAGCAAGAAGGAGAAAGAAGCAUCUGAAGUUCUUGGGUUGAUGAGAGGAAGGUCCUAACUUUUCACUUUAUCAAGGCUUGCCUUGUUUCUAGAAGGAAAUGAAAAUAUAAAGACAUAAGAAUGAUACAGAAGACCAAUUGAAAAAUAUUGGUUUAUAGUACUUAGUCAAAUAAGACAUGUCAGGGGAGAAAUGACAGACAAUGAAAUAAUACACAGUCAUGCAGGUGUUUCUGAUUUGUUCUUUCUUUAUUCAAUCCCAGACAGUAUUCAGUUAAAUCAAAAGGUUUCCAUUGAAAAUUGAUUCAAGAACAUUACUCUUUAAAUCUAUGAAUCAUUAACCUAUAACACUCAUCACCCGAAGGCAAUAUUUAAGGUCCAAAUGCAGAAGAAAAGAACAAAUGAUUGGGAUGGCAGUUUAUUUAGAUCAAAAAUUUUAAAAUAUUUUUUGGUAACAGUGGAACUUUUAAAACCUGAAAUCUUAAACAAAAUUCCAAUACAAAGAACAGUUAAAAGUGGAAAUGUUGCCAAGCUCAGUGGCACAUGCACGCAAUCCUAGUGACUCGGGAAGCUGGACUGAGGCAGAAGAAUCACAAGUUCAGAGCUAGCCUUAGCAACUUAGUGAAACACUAAGCAACUUUGUGAGAUCCUGUCUCUAAAUAAACAAAUAAAUAAAAAGGGCUGAGGAUAUAGCUCAAUAGUAAAGUGUUCCUGGGUUCAAUCCCCAGUACAAAGAAGAAAAGUGGAAAUGUGUUGAUUGGAGAGAUACCCACUGGCCUUCACAUUGCCCAUUGAAGCACCCAUGCUCUGUAGAACAGAGUAUGUAAAUUUGUAUUUUAGGUAAUUAUUUUAAAACUAGUCAUUGGAGCAGACAUCCUCCACAAACUUAUCACCGAGGAGCCACAGCUGAUGGAACAUUGGCAUUUCUGGAGAAGAAGCAUCUGGGCUUGGUUUUGCCAUGAAUAGUGACGUUAGGAGAGAAUUAAUGCUGCCAAAGGAUGCAGUCAUUUUCCACUUUCUUCCCUUGUAAUAUGGAAGCUAUUGAAUGUACCAAGAUCAUAGGUUAUGAUUAAUGUGAAAUGAUCCAUUCACUCGGGGUCCCUCCUAUGCAGGGAUACUGCUACAAUCACUCUCUAAUUCCUGAAUUUGCUAAUGUUUAGAGGGAACUACUCUGAAAGGUAACAGAAAAAC
rnacentral:lncRNA from 1 species